AGAACGAACGCUGGCGGCAGGCUUAACACAUGCAAGUCGAACGCGUGUAGCAAUACACGAGUGGCGCACGGGUGAGUAACGCGUGGAUAUCUGCCUUUUGGUUCGGAAUAACCCCGGGAAACUGGGGCUAAUACCGGAUGGUUCCUUCGGGAUAAAGAUUUAUCGCCAAAAGAUGAGUCCGCGUCCGAUUAGCUAGUUGGUGAGGUAAUGGCUCACCAAGGCGACGAUCGGUAGCUGGUCUGAGAGGACGAUCAGCCACACUGGGACUGAGACACGGCCCAGACUCCUACGGGAGGCAGCAGUGGGGAAUAUUGGACAAUGGGGGCAACCCUGAUCCAGCCAUGCCGCGUGAGUGAUGAAGGCCUUCGGGUUGUAAAGCUCUUUUGGCGGGGACGAUGAUGACGGUACCCGCAGAAUAAGCCCCGGCUAACUUCGUGCCAGCAGCCGC
rnacentral:rRNA from 1 species